CAGUAUCCACGGUAAUCCGUAGGUGGCAAGCGUUGUCCGGAAUUAUUGGGCGUAAAGGGCUCGCAGGCGGUUUCUUAAGUCUGAUGUGAAAGCCCCCGGCUCAACCGGGGAGGGUCAUUGGAAGCUGGGAAACUUGAGUGCAGAAGAGGAGAGUGGAAUUCCACGUGUAGCGGUGAGAUGCGUAGAGAUGUGGAGGAACACCAGUGGCGAAGGCGACUCUCUGGUCUGUAACUGACGCUGAGGAGCGAAAGCGUGGGGAGCGAACAGGAUUAGAUAACCCCGUAGUCCCUGUCUCUUAUAC
rnacentral:rRNA from 1 species